UACGGAGGGUGCGAGCGUUGUUCGGAAUCACUGGGCGUAAAGGGCGUGUAGGCGGUCCGCUAAGUCUGAUGUGAAAGCCCGGGGCUCACCCCCGGAAGGGCAUUGGAAACUGGCGGACUCGAGUCCCGGAGAGGAAGGUGGAAUUCCUGGUGUAGCGGUGAAAUGCGUAGAUAUCAGGAGGAAUACCCGUGGCGAAGGCGGCUCUCUGGAACGCAACUGACGCUGAGACGCGAAAGCGUGGGGAGCAAACAGG
rnacentral:rRNA from 1 species